rnacentral:rRNA from 1 species
UUAAGCGACUAAGCGUACACGGUGGAUGCCCUGGCAGUCAGAGGCGAUGAAGGACGUGCUAAUCUGCGAUAAGCGUCGGUGAGGUGAUAUGAACCGUUAUAACCGGCGAUUUCCGAAUGGGGAAACCCAGUGUGUUUCGACACACUAUCAUUAACUGAAUCCAUAGGUUAAUGAGGCGAACCGGGGGAACUGAAACAUCUAAGUACCCCGAGGAAAAGAAAUCAACCGAGAUUCCCCCAGUAGCGGCGAGCGAACGGGGAGGAGCCCAGAGCCUGAAUCAGUGUGUGUGUUAGUGGAAGCGUCUGGAAAGGCGUGCGAUACAGGGUGACAGCCCCGUACACAAAAAUGCACAUAUUGUGAGCUCGAUGAGUAGGGCGGGACACGUGGUAUCCUGUCUGAAUAUGGGGGGACCAUCCUCCAAGGCUAAAUACUCCUGACUGACCGAUAGUGAACCAGUACCGUGAGGGAAAGGCGAAAAGAACCCCGGCGAGGGGAGUGAAAAAGAACCUGAAACCGUGUACGUACAAGCAGUGGGAGCCUCUUAAUGGGGUGACUGCAUACCUUUUGUAUAAUGGGUCAGCGACUUAUAUUCUGUAGCAAGGUUAACCGAAUAGGGGAGCCGAAGGGAAACCGAGUCUUAACUGGGCGUUAAGUUGCAGGGUAUAGACCCGAAACCCGGUGAUCUAGCCAUGGGCAGGUUGAAGGUUGGGUAACACUAACUGGAGGACCGAACCGACUAAUGUUGAAAAAUUAGCGGAUGACUUGUGGCUGGGGGUGAAAGGCCAAUCAAACCGGGAGAUAGCUGGUUCUCCCCGAAAGCUAUUUAGGUAGCGCCUCGUGAAUUCAUCUCCGGGGGUAGAGCACUGUUUCGGCAAGGGGGUCAUCCCGACUUACCAACCCGAUGCAAACUGCGAAUACCGGAGAAUGUUAUCACGGGAGACACACGGCGGGUGCUAACGUCCGUCGUGAAGAGGGAAACAACCCAGACCGCCAGCUAAGGUCCCAAAGUCAUGGUUAAGUGGGAAACGAUGUGGGAAGGCCCAGACAGCCAGGAUGUUGGCUUAGAAGCAGCCAUCAUUUAAAGAAAGCGUAAUAGCUCACUGGUCGAGUCGGCCUGCGCGGAAGAUGUAACGGGGCUAAACCAUGCACCGAAGCUGCGGCAGCGACACUAUGUGUUGUUGGGUAGGGGAGCGUUCUGUAAGCCUGUGAAGGUGGCCUGUGAGGGUUGCUGGAGGUAUCAGAAGUGCGAAUGCUGACAUAAGUAACGAUAAAGCGGGUGAAAAGCCCGCUCGCCGGAAGACCAAGGGUUCCUGUCCAACGUUAAUCGGGGCAGGGUGAGUCGACCCCUAAGGCGAGGCCGAAAGGCGUAGUCGAUGGGAAACAGGUUAAUAUUCCUGUACUUGGUGUUACUGCGAAGGGGGGACGGAGAAGGCUAUGUUGGCCGGGCGACGGUUGUCCCGGUUUAAGCGUGUAGGCUGGUUUUCCAGGCAAAUCCGGAAAACCAAGGCUGAGGCGUGAUGACGAGGCACUACGGUGCUGAAGCGACAAAUGCCCUGCUUCCAGGAAAAGCCUCUAAGCAUCAGGUAACAUCAAAUCGUACCCCAAACCGACACAGGUGGUCAGGUAGAGAAUACCAAGGCGCUUGAGAGAACUCGGGUGAAGGAACUAGGCAAAAUGGUGCCGUAACUUCGGGAGAAGGCACGCUGAUAUGUAGGUGAAGCGACUUGCUCGUGGAGCUGAAAUCAGUCGAAGAUACCAGCUGGCUGCAACUGUUUAUUAAAAACACAGCACUGUGCAAACACGAAAGUGGACGUAUACGGUGUGACGCCUGCCCGGUGCCGGAAGGUUAAUUGAUGGGGUUAGCGGCAACGCGAAGCUCUUGAUCGAAGCCCCGGUAAACGGCGGCCGUAACUAUAACGGUCCUAAGGUAGCGAAAUUCCUUGUCGGGUAAGUUCCGACCUGCACGAAUGGCGUAAUGAUGGCCAGGCUGUCUCCACCCGAGACUCAGUGAAAUUGAACUCGCUGUGAAGAUGCAGUGUACCCGCGGCAAGACGGAAAGACCCCGUGAACCUUUACUAUAGCUUGACACUGAACAUUGAGCCUUGAUGUGUAGGAUAGGUGGGAGGCUUUGAAGUGUGGACGCCAGUCUGCAUGGAGCCGACCUUGAAAUACCACCCUUUAAUGUUUGAUGUUCUAACGUUGGCCCGUAAUCCGGGUUGCGGACAGUGUCUGGUGGGUAGUUUGACUGGGGCGGUCUCCUCCUAAAGAGUAACGGAGGAGCACGAAGGUUGGCUAAUCCUGGUCGGACAUCAGGAGGUUAGUGCAAUGGCAUAAGCCAGCUUGACUGCGAGCGUGACGGCGCGAGCAGGUGCGAAAGCAGGUCAUAGUGAUCCGGUGGUUCUGAAUGGAAGGGCCAUCGCUCAACGGAUAAAAGGUACUCCGGGGAUAACAGGCUGAUACCGCCCAAGAGUUCAUAUCGACGGCGGUGUUUGGCACCUCGAUGUCGGCUCAUCACAUCCUGGGGCUGAAGUAGGUCCCAAGGGUAUGGCUGUUCGCCAUUUAAAGUGGUACGCGAGCUGGGUUUAGAACGUCGUGAGACAGUUCGGUCCCUAUCUGCCGUGGGCGCUGGAGAACUGAGGGGGGCUGCUCCUAGUACGAGAGGACCGGAGUGGACGCAUCACUGGUGUUCGGGUUGUCAUGCCAAUGGCACUGCCCGGUAGCUAAAUGCGGAAGAGAUAAGUGCUGAAAGCAUCUAAGCACGAAACUUGCCCCGAGAUGAGUUCUCCCUGACUCCUUGAGAGUCCUGAAGGAACGUUGAAGACGACGACGUUGAUAGGCCGGGUGUGUAAGCGCAGCGAUGCGUUGAGCUAACCGGUACUAAUGAACCGUGAGGCUUAACCUU